UGGAUGGUGCUGACGACUGGUACGUCAUGAUCCCCUGUUUCCUUGUCGUCGUGGUGGCCUGGUAGCUUCUCUUUGAUCUUAUCCAUUACCCCUUUCUUCUCUUCCCCUCCUUCAACGGUCUUCUUCUUUUUCUUGUCCUCACCUUCUUCAUCGCUUGACUGUUAGAUAUUCAAACCAUGAGUAUGAUUAUUACUUCAGCUCAAUCAAGAUCGAUUAAUAAAUCUCUUAUCAUAUAAUCUCUUAUCAAAAAUCUUUACUUACAGAGGAAGAAGAGCUGUUGGAUCGGUGAAGCUUUUCGAUGACACUAGGCUUGUUCUCCUCAUCUUCCUCGGUCUUCUCCUGAAGCUCCUCGAGGAGAGUAAUCUUGUUCUCCUUCACUUCCUCGUGCUCCGCAGCUAACGCCGGUUCUGAGAUCUGAGCCUUAUGGUCGAACUCAGACUCGAGCGUCGUAGUCUCUUGAGGUUUCACUUCCUCUUUCUUCUUGCUCAAGAAAUCGAACAUCCCACGAUCCGUAACCUCCGGUGUAGUAGUAGUGGUUGAUGGCUCUUCUGUUGUUGCAACCUUGGGGGUCUCGUGCUCGGGAACGUUGUUCUUGUACUCUUCCGCCAUAGUUAUAAUCUGAAUGGACUGAAACGGUUUGAUAAACAGAAAAUUCAAAGAACUUUGAAGUUGCUAAAAAAGAUUGGUUUUGGAGAGGUGUGUGUGAGAUGAUGAGUAUCGAUGUUUGAGAUGAGAGAAGAGAAGAGAGUUGGGUUUUAUAUAGUGUGUGUGAACUGUGAAGAGAAGGGUCCAGGCCAACGCGGAGGUCACGCUGUAAAGAAUUUUAAUUAUUUUUCUAAUAAAGCAAAGUAUCGAUGGAUAUUUAUUUUAUUUUAAAUUGCAGGAUGACCCCAAUUGUUUAAGUCGGUAGAUGAAUAUCAUGAUAUCACCACUUUUCUUUCUUAAGAUAAAGGAUUACAAAUUUUAAUAAAAUAUUAGAUGAAGAGUUAAACUAAUAUUAGAUAUUAGCAUAGUCAUGUACUUUUCAUCUACAGGGAGCUGUAUCGGACGAACUAUGGUUUCGUGGCCCAAGUGCCACCUUGUAAUUUUAUUAUAUGAUUUUAAAAUAGAUAACAGAUGUACAUAUAAGUAAAGAGUGUUUGGAAUAGACUAGGAAUAUAAUGUAGUGGUUUGGAAUUUGGUUUUGAUGUUAUGUCACCAUCCUUAUUCAAACCUUUUGUAAGGCGAAAAAAAAAAAAGAACUAACUAGAGAACUCUUACAAUUUUGAACAUUUCUUUUAUAAUGUUUUUGUAUAAAAACUUUUUUGAUCAUAUCCCUCUAUGUUGAAUAAUUGUCUAUAGAUGUUCGUGUACAACAGAAAAAUGAUCAAACUUAUAAAGAGAUGUUUUCGACUCUAUUUAAGACUUUGUGGUUAAAUCUGUAAAAUAGGGUAAAAUUACAGUACCUUGUUAAAAAAGUUAUCGUACAAUAAAAUAAAGAGGAAAUAAUUAACUAUUAACAAAGCCAUAAAAUUCAUGAUUCGUGGCAAUACAUCAUUGAUACUGAUAAGAAGAAAAGUUAAAAAAAACCGAAGUAGAAGAAAAAUGAGAAUAAUUAAGAAAGGCAUGAAAUUUCAACCAAUACAUGAACAACACGUGUCAUUGAGGUGUGAAAAGGGGCCCAUGGUCGGUUUUGAUUGGCUAAAACCAAUGGAUGUCGGUCAUCUCGGCCUACUGAUUUGUAGAUAUUUUUUGAGUGUUAAAUUACUAAUUUGACAUUACCUCUUAAUCAAAUUAAAAAACGUUACCAAAAAAGAUAUUUACAUAUAUGCAGCAAACUAAAUUUUUGUUUAGUAGUCAGAUAUUUAUUUAUGCGCGAUGAUGAUGUCCUUUUUUUUUAUUGUAUAUAAAACAAGAUUAAACAGAUGGUGGCAUUUGAGAACGCACAAAUUUCUUUUUUUUUUUUUGUUUGGUUAAACUCAUUAAAUACUGAUUAAUGAAUCGUGUUCAGUUGAAAGAUUUAAGACGUCGUGCCACAUUUUAAUAAAUUGAGACGUUUCAUGAACACGCGACCCGUUGUUUAUUAACAGGGCCAAAUUUUUAAGAAAUUUUAGGUGUUGGGGCUGUCACUCUACCGACACAUACCAAACAAAGCAAUCGUUUUCGUUGCCAAAAUUUGGUUUAAUUAAUUUGUCUUCUUACCCAAAAUCUAUACUCCAUUUGUAAAUCUUUUACGACAUAGCAUAUAAGUUUGUGCAUCAGAUUUAAACCCUCAACCAAAAUAUGGAAGUAGGAAAAAAGAAUGGAGAUGUAAUCAAAAAACAAAUACAAUAUUGAAUCUCAUAUUGUAUAGAACAAAAACGGAUCAAUCAAAGCCUACGCACGGGUUUGUUUGACAACAAGCACAUGAUGCACAAACUUAUAUGGCCUGAUUAUGCGUCUAUUUCCCUUUUUCUUCAGUGUGCAUGUUGCGUGGGUUUCAACUUUGAACCCUGAUUUGGGGAAACGAUAAUGAUACUAACACAAACUAUACACUCCAUACAAAUUUUGAAACGUUGGAUCCACACUUCACUAGUAACAAUUAUUAAUCCCUACGUUCAUUUGUGUAGAACAAUACUAUAUAUAUAUAUAUGUCUGAUCUUGUACUACCAUGAUAUACAUGGGUGUCUUUUGAAAUGUUUUAUGGGUGUAUCUUCCUAAAUCGAUAUGUUUAAAGAUUUCCCAAUAUCAAGCGUACGCAUGAUCAGAUUUAACAAAAAUCAGAUUUAUACAUGAGAAAACAUCGCACACAAUUAUCCAUUUAGGCUCUUUUGGUUAUAAAGACCCCAUUGGUUUUUAUGAAAAACAAAUUUUGUAGAUUUUUUUUUUGUUUUGGACAAAAACAAUUUUUAUAGAUUAAAACACAAAUGAUACAUAAACUUUGCGACAAGCAUAAGAAAAAGAGAAAAGAGAGAAUGAUAACGAAAACACAACAAAUGUCCCACACUCCCACUCCCAUAUCACAUUAUUGAUCAUGUUUAAUUACUUUUGCUUAAGCAGACUCUUUAUCUUUCUUCUCCUCCUCUGUCUUGCCAUGAUAACCUGGAAGCUUCUCUUUGAUCUUAUCCAUGAAUCCCUUCUUCUCCUCCGGAUGCUCAGCUAUCGGUGUUGCCGUUUCAACCAGCGGCGUGGUGUUGACGACCUCUGAGUCCUCUGGUUUCUUGCUGUGGCCUGGAAGCUUCUCCUUGAUCUUAUCCAUUAGCCCUUUCUUCUCUUCUUCCUCUGGUUUUUGAUGCUCUACCGAGUGUGGAGCUGGCAUGCUGGUGACGACCGGUACGUCAUGACCCUCUGGUUUUUUCUCGCCGUGUGGAAACUUCUCUUUGAUCUUAUCCAUCACUCCUUUGUUCUCUUCCUCUGUUUUCGCAUCUCCUUCAAGGAUCUUUUUCUUCUCCUUCUUCUUCUUUCUCUUCUCACCGUCUUCACCUUCUUCAUCGCUCGACUGUUCAAAGAAAUUCAUAUUCCAAAACCAUGAGUUUCUUUGUUUCGUUGAUAACCACAAAAAGUUAACAAACUAAUAAAAAACUUUUACUUACAGAAGAAGAAGAGCUGUUGGAUCGGUGGAGUUUUGCGAUAAGACUUGGCUUGUUCUCUUCUUCCUCCUCGUGCUUCUGGUGAAGCUGCUCGAGGAGAGUUGGCUUAUGUUCCUUCUGUUCCUCUUCUUCGUGCUUCGCCACGAACGGCUCUGGUUCAGAGAUCUGAGUCUUGUGCUCGAACUCGGACGCGAGAGUAGUCGUCUCUUGAGGUUUCACUUCCUCCUUUUUCUUCAAGAAAUCGAACAUUCCCCGUUCCUUAAUCUCUGGCGCCGCCGUUGAUGGCUCCUCUGUUGUAGCGACCUUAGGGGUCUCGUGCUCGGGAACGCUGUUCUUGUACUCUUCCGCCAUAGUGUUAACCUUGAAUUGAAUGAACGGUUUAAAGGAAAAAUAAUAAACAGAAACUUGGAAAUUCGAUUUGAGCUUUUAAGUUGCUUUUACGAUGGUUUUGAA
rnacentral:lncRNA from 1 species